rnacentral:lncRNA from 1 species
GUCCGCUUACCGACGCUGGCCCGCCGCGGCAUCCUGGAAGCGGCGGCGGCUGGAGCAGUGUGGACUCUCCAGGUUCAGCACUCAUUUGAUGACAACUCCUGACUCCAACUGAUUGAGGUUCCUGUUGUGUCUUAGUGCACUGUUUCGCUUGCUGGGGCUAAGAUGGACCUUGUUCUCAGUGCCGCAGAUUAUUAUUUUUUUACACCAUACGUAUAUCCAGCCACAUGGCCAGAGGAUGACAUCUUCUGACAAACUAUUAGUCUCCUAAUUGUGACAAAUCUUGGCGCUUAUAUCCUUUAUUUCUUCUGUGCCACAUUGAGCUAUUAUUUUGUGUAUGAUCAUUCAUUAAUGAAGCAUCCACAGUUUUUAAAGAAUCAAGUGUAUCGAGAGAUUAAGUUCACUGUCCAGUCAUUACCCUGGAUAAGUAUCCCCACUGUUGCAUUGUUCCUGCUAGAGUUGAGAGGUUACAGCAAAUUAUAUGACAACAUAGGAGAGUUUCCAAGUGGUUGGUUUCACCUUAUUGUCAGUGUCAUCUCCUUCCUCUUUUUCACUGAUAUGCUGAUCUACUGGAUUCACAGAGGCCUUCAUCAUAGACUUGUAUACAAGCGUAUCCAUAAACCUCAUCACAUUUGGAAGAUACCCACUCCAUUUGCAAGUCAUGCUUUUCACCCAGGGGAUGGCUUCCUUCAGAGUCUACCUUACCAUAUAUACCCUUUUAUCUUUCCGUUACACAAAGUGGUUUACUUAGGUUUGUACAUCUUGGUUAAUAUCUGGACCAUUUCCAUUCAUGAUGGUGAUUUUCGUGUCCCCCAGAUUUUAAAGCCAUUUAUUAAUGGCUCAGCACAUCAUACAGACCACCACAUGUUCUUUGACUAUAACUAUGGACAGUACUUCACACUUUGGGAUAGAAUUGGAGGUUCAUUCAAAAACCCUUCCUCCUUUGAGGGGAAAGGACCACUUAGUUAUGUGAAGAAGAUGGCAGAAGAAAAAUGCAACAG